rnacentral:rRNA from 1 species
AUUGAACGCCGGCGGCAGGCCUAACACAUGCAAGUCGAGCGGAUGAAGGGAGCUUGCUCCUGGAUUCAGCGGCGGACGGGUGAGUAAUGCCUAGGAAUCUGCCUGGUAGUGGGGGAUAACGUCCGGAAACGGGCGCUAAUACCGCAUACGUCCUGAGGGAGAAAGUGGGGGAUCUUCGGACCUCACGCUAUCAGAUGAGCCUAGGUCGGAUUAGCUAGUUGGUGGGGUAAAGGCCUACCAAGGCGACGAUCCGUAACUGGUCUGAGGGGAUGAUCAGUCACACUGGAACUGAGACACGGUCCAGACUCCUACGGGAGGCAGCAGUGGGGAAUAUUGGACAAUGGGCGAAAGCCUGAUCCAGCCAUGCCGCGUGUGUGAAGAAGGUCUUCGGAUUGUAAAGCACUUUAAGUUGGGAGGAAGGGCAGUAAGUUAAUACCUUGCUGUUUUGACGUUACCAACAGAAUAAGCACCGGCUAACUUCGUG